rnacentral:lncRNA from 1 species
GAGGCAGGAGAAUUGCUUGCAUCUGGGAGGCGGAGGUUGCGGUGAGCCGAGAUUGUGCCAUUGCACUCCAGCCUGGGCAACAAGAGUGAAACUUAUCUCAAAAAAAGUAAAAAUAAAAAUAAUAAAAAAUAAAAGUUGGGAAAUAUGACUACCUGAAAAUGCAUGAAAAUGUACAUAUACAUUUUUUUUUUCGAGAUGGAGUUUUGUUCUUGUUGCCCAAGCUGGAGUGCAGUGGCGUGAUCUCCGCUUACUGCAACCUCUGCCUCCCAGGUUCAAGUGAUUCUCCUGCCUCAGCCUCCUGAGUAGCUGAGAUUACAGGCACCUGCCACCACGACAUUUCAAAGUUAAUAAAGUGAUCACCCUUAUACCCACCAUCCAAGCCCGUAAACAGCUCAUCAUUAAACACCAGGCAAUUCACGUCUGUGCCUCACAGACGACAUCUCCAGCCCCAAGAGGAAACCGCCAUGGUUCAUUUUGUAUCAUUCGCCCCCCUCGCUCAUCUUUAUGUUUGCAGCUAUGCAGAAAUCCCCAAAUACCCUGUUUUCUAGUUUCGAUGAUGUUUAUGCUGCGUAUGAUGGCAUGGCAUAGAAUAUUUCUUUGUGCCUUGCUUCUUUCAGGAAAAGAAAAGCUAAGCAGGUAGGGUGCAGGUGGCAUUCAUUCUUUCUUAGUUAUAUUCAUUCCAGAGACCCUGGAUCUGUAUCUCACUUUAGAGAUUAUAAACAUGCUGCUAACACCAAUUUUGCAAAGCCCUCCCAAUGAGCAUUUUAUGAAAGUCAUUCUUGGCCGGGCGUGGUGGCUCACGCCUGUAAUCCCAGCACUUUGGGAGGCCGAGGCAGGUGGAUCACUUGAGGUCAGGGUUCAAGACCAGCCUGGCCAAUGUGGUGAAACCCCGUCUCUACUAAAAAUACAAAAAUUAGUCAGGCAUGGUGGCAUGCACCUGUAGUCCCAGCUACUCAGGAGGCUGAGGCAGGAGAAUUAUUUGAGCCCAAGAGGCG